GAUACAUAAAUAAUUGCUGAUGUGAAGCUUUGUGUGUGUUUAAAGGAAUGUUUCCAUUUUGCGAAUCAUUGGCUCGAAUAAUUUUUUACGAGCGUCGAUUCCCCAGAGGAAAUCCAUCCCAGGUGCGAAAGGACGUUUUAUCAAAAGUUUUACUGCAUUUGACACACACUGUAAAUUUGUACAUUUACAUGAAAACAACUGUAACACUACAAAAUAGUGUUCGAAGUAAUACUGUCUUUGGAUUCU